rnacentral:rRNA from 1 species
AGGGAAUAGAUACCCUGGUAGUCCUGGCAGUAAACGGUGCACGUUUGGUGUGGGAGGAUUCGACCCCUUCUGCGCCGGAGCUAAACGCGUUAAACGUGCCGCCUGGGGAGUACGGUCGCAAGAUUAAAACUCAAAGAAAUUGACGGGGGCCCGCACAAGCGGUGGAGUAUGUGGCUUAAUUCGAUGCAACGCGAAGAACCUUACCUGGCCUUGACAUGCAUCUCUAAGUUGGUGAAAGCCAAUGAGUCCCGAAAGGGACAAUUUGCACAGGUGCUGCAUGGCUGUCGUCAGCUCGUGUCGUGAGAUGUUGGGUUAAGUCCCGCAACGAACGCAACCCCUGUGAACUGUUGCCACGUCCUUGAUUGGACAGCACUCUGUUCAGACUGCCCUGUGAAACGGGGAGGAAGGUGGGGACGACGUCAAGUCAGUAUGGCCCUUACGGCCAGGGCUGCACACGUACUACAAUGCCCAGUACAGAACGAUCCGAGACCGCGAGGUGGAGGAAAUCCAGUAAAACUGGGCUCAGUUCGG